AGCUUUAUGCAUUUAUAUAAGGUGAAACCUGCCCAGUGAUGUUUAAAUGGCCGCGGUACUUUGACCGUGCUAAGGUAGCAUAAUCAGUUGGCUUUUGAAUGAAGUCUGGAAUGAAUGGGAAAACGGGAACUAGCUGUUUCUUUAACUUUUUUUUGAAAUUACUAAUUAAGUGAAAAAGCUUAAAAAAGAUAAAAGACGAGAAGACCCUAAGAGUUUUUAUUUCGUUGGGGCGACGAGGAAUCAAGUAACAUUCCUUUUUUUAUUGGUAGGAUAUAUCAUGUAAAAACAAACUACCUUAGGGAUAACAGCAUAAUCUUUUUAGGUUUGUGACCUCGAUGUUGGACUAGGGACCUAUUAGGCUAGCAGCUUAUUAGAACGAUUCUGUUCGAAUUUAAUUCCCU
rnacentral:rRNA from 1 species